ACUCCUACGGGAGGCAGCAGUGGGGAAUAUUGCACAAUGGGCGCAAGCCUGAUGCAGCCAUGCCGCGUGUGUGAAGAAGGCCUUCGGGUUGUAAAGCACUUUCAGUCGUGAGGAAGGUAGUGUAGUUAAUAGCUGCAUUAUUUGACGUUAGCGACAGAAGAAGCACCGGCUAACUCCGUGCCAGCAGCCGCGGUAAUACGGAGGGUGCGAGCGUUAAUCGGAAUUACUGGGCGUAAAGCGCAUGCAGGUGGUUGUUAAGUCAGAUGUGAAAGCCCGGGGCUCAACUCGGAAUAGCAUUUGAAACUGGCAGACUAGAGUACUGGUAGAGGGGGUUA
rnacentral:rRNA from 1 species